ACAGACCAUAAAGAUGGAGUCCAGGUGGGUUUGAUGCUGCCGGGCAGACGGACCACUGGAACCCUCUGAGCUCUCCUGGUCCACUCUCUUUUCAGCUGAG